GGGGGCUUGCUCCCGGGUUAGUGGCGAACGGGUGAGUAAUAUAUCGGAACAUAUCCGGAAGUGGGGGAUAACGUAGCGAAAGUUACGCUAAUACCGCAUAUGCCCUGAGGGGGAAAGGGGGGGAUCGCAAGACCUCUCGCUUUCGGAGUGGUCGAUACCGGAUUAGCUAGAUGGUGAGGUAAAGGCUCACCAUGGCGACGAUCCGUAGCUGGUCUGAGAGGACGACCAGCCACACUGGAACUGAGACACGGUCCAGACUCCUACGGGAGGCAGCAGUGGGGAAUUUUGGACAAUGGGCGAAAGCCUGAUCCAGCCAUACCGCGUGAGUGAAGAAGGCCUUCGGGUUGUAAAGCUCUUUCAGCCGGAAAGAAAUCGCACUUUUUAAUACGGAGUGUGGAUGACGGUACCGGAAGAAGAAGCACCGGCUAACUACGUGCCAGCAGCCGCGGUAAUACGUAGGGUGCGAGCGUUAAUCGGAAUUACUGGGCGUAAAGCGUGCGCAGGCGGUUUGAUAAGCCAGAUGUGAAAUCCCCGGGCUUAACCUGGGAACUGCAUUUGGAACUGUCAGACUAGAGUGUAGCAGAGGGGGGUAGAAUUCCACGUGUAGCAGUGAAAUGCGUAGAUAUGUGGAGGAAUACCAAUGGCGAAGGCAGCCCCCUGGGUUAACACUGACGCUCAUGCACGAAAGCGUGGGGAGCAAACAGGAUUAGAUACCCUGGUAGUCCACGCCCUAAACGAUGUCAACUAGUUGUUGGGGGAGGAGACUUCCCUUAGUA
rnacentral:rRNA from 1 species